rnacentral:tRNA from 1 species
GGUAGCUCAGUGGUAGAGUGCUUGCCUUCCAUGCAUGCGGCCAUGGGUUCGAUUCCUUAGCACCA